AUGGCGCCUGGUGAUUCGGGUUUCACCAAGGACGGGGAGCUGAAUUCCCGUGAUAUGGUCAACCCCAUGGAGCCGUCCGUGUUUGUUGCUCACCCCACGCUCAGCUCCUGUGAUGACGAUGUUCUCUACCUGACGACCAUGACCAGCCUAGAUGACAGUAUGUCACAGGUGAUCGCUGUUAACAUGAAGGAGAAGACGGUGGAGCGAACCGCAAAAUACACCACGCAACGAGACGCCAGCAUGGCCUUCGCGUACACGCGCACUACCAUCUCUAAAUUUCUCGCUCGAGGUAUGCCUCUACCUUCUCGCCACUCUGAUAAGAAUCAUAAGAUACACAAUUUUUCAACUUGA
rnacentral:rRNA from 1 species